rnacentral:rRNA from 1 species
GGAGCUACCAUGCAGUCGAGCGGUAACGGGGAGCUUGCUCCUGCUGACGAGCGGCGGACGGGUGAGUAAUGCCUGGGGAUCUGCCUUAGUGAGGGGGAUAACCACUGGAAACGGUGGCUAAUACCGCAUAAUGUCGCGAGACCAAAGUGGGGGACCUUCGGGCCUCACGCACUAGGAUGAACCCAGGUGAGAUUAGCUAGUUGGUGAGGUAAUGGCUCACCAAGGCGACGAUCUCUAGCUGGUCUGAGAGGAUGAUCAGCCACACUGGGACUGAGACACGGCCCAGACUCCUACGGGAGGCAGCAGUGGGGAAUAUUGGACAAUGGGGGCAACCCUGAUCCAGCCAUGCCGCGUGUGUGAAGAAGGCCUUCGGGUUGUAAAGCACUUUCAUUGGUGAGGAAGGAUAUAAAAAUAAUACUUUUAUGUAUUGACGUUAACCAAAGAAGAAGCACCGGCUAACUCCGUGCCAGCAGCCGCGGUAAUACGGAGGGUGCGAGCGUUAAUCGGAAUUACUGGGCGUAAAGGGCAUGCAGGCGGUUACAUAAGUCAGAUGUGAAAUCCCCGCGCUUAACGUGGGCAUUGCAUUUGAAACUAUGUAGCUAGAGUUCUGUAGAGGGGGGUAGAAUUCCAGGUGUAGCGGUGAAAUGCGUAGAGAUCUGGAGGAAUACCGAUUGCGAAGGCAGCCCCCUGGACAGUGACUGACGCUCAUAUGCGAAAGCGUGGGGAUCAAACAGGAUUAGAUACCCUGGUAGUCCACGCUGUCAACGAUGUCGAUUUGAAGGUUGUGGCUUUAAGCCGUGGCUUUCGGAGCUAACGCGUUAAAUCGACCGCCUGGGGAGUACGGCCGCA